rnacentral:rRNA from 1 species
CCUACGGGAGGCAGCAGUGAGGAAUAUUGGUCAAUGGCCGGGAGGCUGAACCAGCCAAGUCGCGUGAGGGAAGACGGCCCUACGGGUUGUAAACCUCUUUUGUCAGGGAGCAAGGUGCAGGUCGGGACCUGCUGCGAGAGUACCUGAAGAAAAAGCAUCGGCUAACUCCGUGCCAGCAGCCGCGGUAAUACGGAGGAUGCGAGCGUUAUCCGGAUUUAUUGGGUUUAAAGGGUGCGCAGGCGGAGGCAGAAGUCAGCGGUAAAAGCGCGGGGCUCAACCCCGCUCCGCCGUUGAAACUGUGUCCCUUGAGUGCGCGAAGGGUAGGCGGAAUGCGUGGUGUAGCGGUGAAAUGCAUAGAUAUCACGCAGAACUCCGAUCGCGAAGGCAGCCUACCGGCGCGCAACUGACGCUCAUGCACGAAAGCGUGGGUAUCGAACAGGAUUAGAUACCCGAGUAGUC